GACGAACGCUGGCGGCGUGCUUAACACAUGCAAGUCGAGCGGUAAGGCCCUUUCGGGGGUACACGAGCGGCGAACGGGUGAGUAACACGUGGGUGACCUGCCCUCAGCUCUGGGAUAAGCCUGGGAAACUGGGUCUAAUACUGGAUAUGACUCCACGGUGCAUGUCGUGGGGUGGAAAGCCUUGUGCGGCUGAGGAUGGGCCCGCGGCCUAUCAGCUUGUUGGUGGGGGAUGGCCUACCAAGGCGACGACGGGUAGCCGGCCUGAGAGGGCGACCGGCCACACUGGGACUGAGACACGGCCCAGACUCCUACGGGAGGCAGCAGUGGGGAAUCUUGCGCAAUGGGCGAAAGCCUGACGCAGCGACGCCGCGUGAGGGAUGACGGCCUGGUGU
rnacentral:rRNA from 1 species